GCUAACUUGGUGUUUAUGCAUAUGGGCUUUUCGUGCCCAAGGUGUUAGUGUUAAGCUAUCAGUUAGUA
rnacentral:tRNA from 1 species